CCACGCAGUACAAUGAAUAGCACAUGACCAUGAUCAAUAAGCAGCAGAAAUUACUAGCUAUCCCUGAUGAUCAGAAGAUCUGCUCAGCCACACUCCUCUCUCUCUCUCUCUCUCUCUGUGUGUGUGUGUGUGUGUGUGUGUGUGUGUGUGUGUGUGUGUGAUGAGUAUGGAAUGUUAACAUUCUGCUCAUUUUCUCCACCCUACUUAAUUCUUCGUAUUUCUGUCCCACCCAGAAUCCCUCAGGAGACAGUUUAUGAAUCAGUUUGGCCUGGCUUGACCCCAUCACUAGAGAGCAAAAGCAAAACCACAACCAAAAUGUUCACUCAAUGGGCUUGAAGAAAGGGUGAGCCAGAGACACAGGAGGAGUAGGACAAUUAGCCUGAAGCACACAUUAUCCUACAAUGGCAAGAUAUUUGAGGAUUUCAAGGAUAAAUUUUGAAGGUAUUUACUAUAAACACUAAUUAUAAAGCCAGGCAAGGUCUUAUUGGAAAGAAAACAAAUUUCUAUUUCUCACAGAUACAUGAGUGUACAUAGAGAUUAAUGUGUGUUCUUUCCUUGAGCAAUCAUAGAUAGAACAUGUGUAUAUAAGUGUAUAGGUUUAGCACCUAUUCAUUAAUGUAUAGGCACACCGCUAUGACACAGAGCUUAACAAUUAGGUAGAUUACUUUUAUAAUUUUUUAAAAGCUAUGAAUCCAGGAUACUUAAUGAGUUUUAGCUUGCCUUAGCUGCACAUUUUCAGUUUAUUAACCAAGUCUUUCUUUCCCUUCCUAGGAUAGGAUAAAAUCAGUUUGAAUCUUCCAGAGUUUCAAGCUAUGGUUCAAAAAGAUCAAGAGCCUAAAAAUCUGGGUAAUGUCUCCAGGACAUGCCCUUGCCCUUCUCCUUCCAGACCAGCCUGACUUUAUUUGCUCAUCCUAAUUUUUUAAAUUAUGACCAGAUCUAUCUUGCUGAUUAUUUUGUUUCUUUUUCCCCCUCUUUCCCCUAUUUUCCUUGAUCUAUUUGAAGCCACUGUAGUACUUGAGUUGUCAGCAGGAUGAUAUAAAGCAGACAGAGAGUGUACUAAUUGGGGGAGAAUAGUACAUUUUUUUUUAAUUUAAUAAAG
rnacentral:lncRNA from 1 species